rnacentral:autocatalytically_spliced_intron from 1 species
CUAACUCUGUAAGCCCAAACCGGGCCUGGUGCAGAGUGAUUGUGGUAACACAGUCAAAGAAAAUCUCGCUAUAUGCUGGAAACUUCUGUUAAUGGCACACUACCUAAAAACGGUGACAAUGUGUGUCAAACCCAAAAAAACGUACUACCGCACGUAUAGGGGUUGCAGAACAAUCAGCAGGAAACCGCAAACUACAACCGGUUUGCGGGCUCCUCAGAGACUACACGCGAGACUCCCGAGUUAGUCGGGAUGAUGAUAUAGUCCAACGAGCUCUUCAUAUGAAG